ensembl:lncRNA
GGGUCUUCUAAUUUUCAAAAGGCAGUCCAUCCUAAAAAGCUUCACGACAUCAGUGGGCGUUUUCUUAUCAGAGAGCGUGAGACAUUUUUACACAUUUCCCCUUGCUCAUUCAACCGCCUCUCAUUUACAGUAUCAUCAUGCGGACCGCUCUGCUUCUCGCGGUGUUCUCGUGCUUUUCUCUUAUCGAGGGAAAGCCAUUCGAAGCAAUUCACAGCUAUCCUGGAUGGAAAUUCAGCAUACUUUUCACAUCCCUUCAAAAACGUAACCCGUAAUGGAAUCAGUGUGACUUACUGUCCAUUUUCAGUCACAUUCCAUGCCUCUUGUCUUAAUUAUGUCAAUCACCUUACAUGUUCUUGCACCAAUUCCACCAGCAUCUAUCCAGUGUUUAGCACAACUCUGCCAUCUAGAGAUUCAUCCUCCACUGCAAUCAAAACUAAUUCUUCAGUGAGACAACACUUUCAGAAAUUCCUCACAAAACAGAAGAAUAACAGUAGUAAUAAUUAUCCUCAUUUCGAUGUUGGUCAAGGUUAUGGAAUCGCAGACUGCAAAAACAAUAUGUUGCCAUUGCUGUUGCUGCCAUUUUUGUCAUAACCCUUGUCAUUUUGGCUUUCCACUCUGCAAGCACAGCGAAAUAUGCUCCUGAAGAACAAAACCAGCCUGGUUCAGUAGAAUGAGCCUGAGGAGGCAACUGUAAUUGCCCUAGAAACAACACAUGGCGUGGAGUCAUAACAACACAUUAUCCUAUAAUGUAACACAUAUUAUAUUAUAUUAUAUUAUAUUAUAUUAUAUUAUAUUAUAUUAUAUUAUAUUAUAUUAUAUAGUCAAAAAUUGAGAUUUUCCACUGUAUAUUAUAUUAUAUUAUAUAGUCCAAAACUGGGAUUUUUCACUGUAUAUUAUAUUAUAUUAUAUUAUAUUAUAUUAUAUUAUAUUAUAUUAUUCAAAACUGUGAUUUUUCACUGUAUCACUCCGCUUGUCCGUGUUCCAUUUUGAACUUGGGUUUUUCAUUGAUUCAUUCUGCAACUAACUUGGUUACGCUAACCGGUUAUGACAAGUGAGGGUUUUGUAUUGAAUGUCUUUUGUAUAAACGAGUUACUGAAUCAUUCAUUCAUUUACUCAAGUAACUUAAUAUUACUCAAGUUAAUCAAUAUUGUAUAAAACCAUACCAAUCAGUAUAACAAUGUCACGCUUUUGGUGCUGCAACAGAACACACAACAGAGUAUGUGGAAGUGGAACGACAUCAAAUUCCUCUCCUUGCUCAAUAAGUUCUGUAAUCAUGUUACUUCACUCCCUCUACACAUUUCCUAUUUCUCACUGGUUAGAGAAAAACACUGCUCUUAGAGUAAGAGAAAACACAGACAUACUAAAAGUGACACAAACAGUGAAAUAUCAGAGUUUUACUAAAUAUGGUCACUGUUGUACCUGUAUUAUAUUAUAUUAUUAUAUUAUAUUAUAUUAUAUUAUAUUAUAUUAUAUUAUAUUAUAUUAUAUUAUAUCAUAUCAUAUAUUAAGUUUAAUAUGAAGUCUAAUAUAAAGGUUAUAACUUUGUAUUUCCUCCCAGUAUUUACAAUAGUUUCCUGUCUCUUCUGUUGUUAGAUAUUGUUUUUUACACAAAUUGGGCUUAAAAGUUUUAAUCAUUAACGUUACAUAGCGGCGCUUGUGUUCAUCUUUGCUUAGUGCUGUAAAUCUUGUUUGCUCGUAGUUCUAAACACUUUUAUAGGAAUUUCUUAUUUAUUUCAGGUUUUUCCAUCCUUGUAGCUCUUUUUAAUUUUUUUGUUUGUUUGUUUUGAGUUAUUCUGAAACUGCCAUUAAACCUAUGCCUUUUACUCAA